AUAGCUUAACUUUGAUACCGAGCGAUGUCAAUAAAUAACAAGAAGCGUGCACUCAGGUGGCAGAGCGGAGAAAGAGUUGGUAGCUUUGGAGAAUAAAGCAGCAGGAAAGAAGAGCUUUAAACGAGAGAAUGCUACAGGUGAUCUUUCUCUUUUGGCUUCGGAGAACACAAACACAGUGAGUUCCCACAGGGAUUAGAGCACGAAGGGUGAGCGAAGGCAGACUUGGUUAAUCGGGAGAGAGGUGGAAAGAGGUACUUCGAGGUCUGCGACACACUCUGCUUCCCUCGUUCCUCCCCGCUGUUUCGGCUUGUGUGGAGCUUCCUUCUUCGCAGAAGAGGAUGGGGAAAAUGAGAGGAGGAUGGGCGUCAAGGAUGGCGCUUCUGUGCUGUGUUUCUUUCUCUUUCCUCUCGGCCUUUGCUCUUCUCGAGGAAACAGGGAUAGGAAGCGCGAGAACGAAGUCUUUCGUGCAGGGUCCGUGGUUAGCACGUGAGGUAGGCACGGCGGCG